AGAGUUUGAUCCUGGCUCAGGACGAACGUUGGCGGCGUGCUUAACACAUGCAAGUCUGCGAGAAAGUUAUAGCAAUAUAGCGAGUAAAGCGGCGAAAGGGUGCGUAACGCGUAAGCAACUUGCCCAUAGGAUGGGGAUAACGUCGAGAAAUCGGCGCUAAUACCCAAUAAUGCAGCGGCAUCGCAUGGUGAUGUUGUUAAAGGUCGCUUCGGUGGCGCCUAUGGAUGGGCUUGCGUCUGAUUAGUUAGUUGGCGAGGUAACGGCUCACCAAGACGACGAUCAGUAGCUGGUCUGAGAGGAUGAUCAGCCACACUGGAACUGAGACACGGUCCAGACUCCUACGGGAGGCAGCAGUGAGGAAUAUUGGGCAAUGCCCGCAAGGGUGACCCAGCAACGCCGCGUGGAGGAUGACAGCCGUAAGGUUGUAAACUCCUGUUCGGGGGGACGAAUAACCGUCGUUUGCAAAGGCGACGGCUUGACGGUACCCUCAGAGAAAGCCCCGGCUAACUACGUGCCAGCAGCCGCGGUAAUACGUAGGGGGCAAACGUUGUCCGGAUUUACUGGGUGUAAAGGGCGCGCAGGCGGGUCGGUCAGUCAGAGGUGAAAGCCCACAGCUUAACUGUGGAACUGCCUUUGAUACUGCCGAUCUUGAGUGCGGGAGAGAGAAGCGGAAUUCCAGGUGUAGUGGUGAAAUACGUAGAUAUCUGGAAGAACACCGGUUGCGAAGGCGGCUUCUUGGACCGACACUGACGCUGAGGCGCGAAAGCGUGGGUAGCGAACAGGAUUAGAUACCCUGGUAGUCCACGCUGUAAACGAUGAAUGUUAGAUGUCGGGGGAUUUUUCCUUCGGCGUCAAAGUUAACGCAUUAAACAUUCCACCUGGGAAGUACGAUCGCAAGGUUGAAACUCAAAGGAAUUGACGGGGGCCCGCACAAGCAGUGGAGCAUGUGGUUUAAUUCGAUGCAACGCGAAGAACCUUACCUAGGCUUGAAAUGUGUUCGAUCGGUCGUGAAAGCGACCUUCCUUCGGGCGGACACACAGGUGCUGCAUGGCUGUCGUCAGCUCGUGCCGCGAGGUGUUGGGUUAAGUCCCGCAACGAGCGCAACCCCUACCAUUAGUUGCCACCGGGUAAUGCCGAGCACUCUAAUGGAACUGCCUACGCAAGUAGUGAGGAAGGUGGGGACGACGUCAAGUCCGCAUGGCCCUUACGCCUAGGGCUACACACGUGCUACAAUGGGCGCAACAAUGGGCAGCGAUACCGCGAGGUGGAGCGAAUCCCUAAAAAGCGUCCUCAGUUCGGAUUGGAGUCUGCAACUCGACUUCAUGAAGUUGGAAUUGCUAGUAAUCGCGUAUCAGCAUGACGCGGUGAAUACGUUCCCGGGCCUUGUACACACCGCCCGUCAAGCCAUGGAAGCCGGGGGUACCCAAAGAUAGCGACCCAACCUUCGGGAAGGAGCUAUUUAAGGUAAAACCGGUAACUGGGGCUAAGUCGUAACAAGGUAACC
rnacentral:rRNA from 1 species